UUUAAUAACCCGCUGACACACAGUACUGACCGGUUGACACAGAGAAAAAACACGAGCGGCUCUCUCUUCUCCUCAAAACAUGAGCGGCUCUCUCUUCAAAAUCAAGGGAUUUUAUCUCUCUCUCUCCUCCCUGGUUUUCUUCCUCUUCCUCGUCCCUGUGUCAAGCCUCUCCUCCCUGGUUUUCUCUCUCUCUCCUACCUGGUUUUCUGCCUCUCACUCCCUGUAACUUUGUGUCAAGCCUGUUCUCCCUGGUUUUCUCUCUCUCCUACCUGGUUUCUGCCUUUCACUCCCUGUAACUUCUUAAACCGAAAUCAUGCACCCCAUUGAUAGGCGCUUAGCCCCUCUCUCUCUCUCUGCCUCUCGCUCCCUGUGCUUAGCCCCUCUCGCUCUCUCUACCAUUCCUACUGCUGGUGCACCCUCUCUGCCUUUCGCUUCCCUAAUAGCUCAAAAAAUCCCAUCGGCCCCUCGUCUUCACUAUCCAAAGGCCCGUCCCUCAGGGAAAAACCAAAGGCCGCUCACGCAUUGUCUCUUCCCCUCGAGCACCAUCUCACGCAGUGGAAAGUCCAGAUGAAUUUAUCGAGUCUCUAUUGGGAGCACAACGUGAGGCAACUGCUUCAUUUGGUGUAAACACUGUUCUAGUGGAAAAAUACAUUUCUCGACCACGACAUAUAGAAGUCCAGGUCUUUGGAGACAAACAUGGUAGUGUCAUACAUUUGAAUGAAAGGGACUGCAGUGUUCAGCGAAGCCACCAGAAGAUAAUUGAGGAGGCUCCAGCAGUAAGUCUUAGUUUCUUACAUUUUCAUAUUGUUAAUUGUGGCUUGCUUUUUUGCCAUUAUAUGAUAAUCAUGUCUACUUCUUGAAUACAGCCAAAUAUUACUAAUAGAUUUUGUUCCCAAUUGGGUGAAGCUAUUGUAUCUGCAGCCAAGGUCAUGCGCAUAUGAAUGUCUUUUUUGAAUUUCCUUUGUGAUCAAUUACCAUGUUUUAUGUAGCUGUCAAAUGAAUCCCAGGGUUAUCAUAUAUGGUGUUCAUUCCAAUUACAUUAUUUUUUGUUUUGUGCUUUAAGUGGUUAAUCAUACAUGAUUUGUUUUUUCUUUAAUUGGUUAACCAUAUUUUUGGUUUCAAAUAUUUUCAAUCAAAAAAUUGAAAAGGUCAUUCAUGCGUCUUCUUCCCCAUUAACCUAUGCAAUGGAUGCAAAGAAGAAUGAACUCUACUUCACAGCUGUGCUAACUAAACCAUGCCUACAGUGUAUGCAAAGAAGAAUGAACUCUCCAUUAACUUCCUGUGGUCUUCAUGGUUUUGCCUAAAUGAAUAUUACAUGAAUAUUACAUGGUUUCCAAACUUUUGACUUUGAAAAUAACUCUUUUUACUUCAAUGGCUGAUGUAAUCCAUGGAUGUGAUAGAGUGAUGACGUUUUUAAUAUAUUCGUUGUGACUUCUUUAGAGAAUGGAUCUCAAUGACCAAUUCCCUCCAAGGAUUUGUAAACGAAAAAACCAAGAUGUAGUUGAAUGCGUGUGUUUAUAUCAAUGACACACGAUAACUACAAUACGCAUUUCUAUAAAUGCUCUAAUAGGAAGCUAGAAUGAGACUGGAUGCGGCUAUUUAGAGUGGAUGAAAUUCUAAGUGAAGAUAGGAAGCAUGUGGUUAAAAGGUUUGUGUCUCAGAUGCUAGAUGCUUGUGUUGCUAAUGGAGUAGAUGCAUCUCUAUCUGAAAAAGAGAAUUGUAAAUCUAUUGCUAUGGUCCUUGAGAAAGCAGACGUUCAAAAAAUUACUCUCAUAUGUGUAAUUUUAUUUAUGAUAUUGAUGUUUGUACUCCUAUUUUUUUGUA